GCCCUCUGCAUCCCGUUUCUUUCUCCAAGAGCUGUUUUUCUACGCGCUCGAGCCUUUGAGCUGUGUGUGCGGGAGAAAAAGAUGUUAGGAAAGAGGAAGUAGAGGUCGGGCACGGUGGCUCACGCCUAUAAUCUCAGCACUUUGGGAGGCCGAGAUGAGCGGAUCACCUGACGUCAGGAGUUCGAGACCAGCCUGGCCAACAUAGCAAAACCCUGUCUCUACUAAAAAUACAAAAAAAUUAGCUGGGCGUGGUGGCGGGCGUCUGUAAUCCCAGCUACUCGGGAGGCUGAGGCAGGAGAAUCACUUGAACCCGGGAGGCAGAUGUUGCAGGGAGCCAAGAUUGCACCACUGCACUCUGGCCUGGGAGAUAAGAGCGAAACUCAGUCUCAAAAAAAAAAAAAGAAAGAAAGAAAAAGGAAAAAGGAGGAAGUAGAAACUGCAGAAGACAAAUCUCUGUUUUAUUCUCAGUGUACCAUGGAAAGGACAAUGGAAGUUGCUGGCCAUGCCUCUGAAAACACAGGCAGCUCUGUGUCACAUCAUUGAGGAAGAUGAUAUUGGAUGUGGCUGAUUUCACAUAUAGGAGCCUUGUCCUGGGACAUGGAGGAGUGUUGAGGGUUGUCACCGGAUUGU
rnacentral:antisense_RNA from 1 species